rnacentral:piRNA from 1 species
UUCAGACUCUUGAUCUUUGAGGGUCCCUA